CCGAGUACCGGGUCUCCGGGCCCCUACUCCCACCCUUUGUGUACCUACCUGUUUUUCGUUGCCUCGGCGGGGUAGAUCCCAGGGCCCCCUGGCCCUGUGGGGACCCGUCGGGGGGACACGCCUAAACUCUUGUCAACGGUGUCGUCUGAGAAACAAAACAAACUAGUCA
rnacentral:misc_RNA from 1 species